UACGGAGGGUGCAAGCGUUAAUCGGAAUUACUGGGCGUAAAGGGCUCGUAGGCGGCCAACUAAGUCGGAUGUGAAAUCCCCAGGCUCAACUUGGGAACUGCAUCCGAUACUGGAUGGCUUGAAUUCGGGAGAGGUGAGUGGAACUCCUAGUGUAGAGGUGGAAUUCGUAGAUAUUAGGAAGAACACCCGUGGACGAACGGCGGCUCUCUGGGACGGUACUGACGCUGAGACGCGAA
rnacentral:rRNA from 1 species